AUUGAACGCUGGCGGCAGGCUUAACACAUGCAAGUCGAACGGUAGCAGAUCUUUCGGGAUGCUGACGAGUGGCGAACGGGUGAGUAAUGUAUAGUUAAUUUGCCUCUUGGAGAGGGAUAACAGUUGGAAACGACUGCUAAUACCUCAUACUCCUCUAUGCUUAAUGUGUAGAGGGAAAUGUUAUUUCGCCAAGAGAUAAGACUAUAUGGUAUCAGGUAGUUGGUGGGGUAAUAGCCUACCAAGCCUAUGACGCCUAGCUGGUCUGAGAGGAUGAUCAGCCACACUGGAACUGAGACACGGUCCAGACUCCUACGGGAGGCAGCAGUGGGGAAUAUUGCACAAUGGAGGAAACUCUGAUGCAGCAACGCCGCGUGGAGGAUGACGCAUUUCGGUGUGUAAACUCCUUUUAUAUGGGAAGAUAAUGACGGUACCAUAUGAAUAAGCACCGGCUAACUCCGUGCCAGCAGCCGACGG
rnacentral:rRNA from 1 species